rnacentral:rRNA from 1 species
CAGUAGCCGCGGGAAUACGUAGGUGGCAAGCGUUGUCCGGAAUUAUUGGGCGUAAAGGGCUUGCAGGCGGUUUCUUAAGUCUGAUGUGAAAGCCCCCGGCUCAACCGGGGAGGGUCAUUGGAAACUGGGAAACUUGAGUGCAGAAGAGGAGAGUGGAAUUCCACGUGUAGCGGUGAAAUGCGUAGAGAUGUGGAGGAACACCAGUGGCGAAGGCGACUCUCUGGUCUGUAACUGACGCUGAGGAGCGAAAGCGUGGGGAGCGAACAGGAUUAGAUACCCCCGUAGUCCCUGUCUCUUAUAU